CGGCGGACGGGUGAGUAACACGUGGGCAACCUGCCUGUAAGACUGGGAUAACUUUCGGGAAACCGGAGCUAAUACCGGAUAAUAUAAGGAACCUCCUGGUUUCUUUAUUGAAAGAUGGUUUCGGCUAUCACUUACAGAUGGGCCCGCGGCGCAUUAGCUAGUUGGUGAGGUAACGGCUCACCAAGGCGACGAUGCGUAGCCGACCUGAGAGGGUGAUCGGCCACACUGGGACUGAGACACGGCCCAGACUCCUACGGGAGGCAGCAGUAGGGAAUCUUCCACAAUGGACGAAAGUCUGAUGGAGCAACGCCGCGUGAGCGAUGAAGGCCUUCGGGUCGUAAAGCUCUGUUGUUAGGGAAGAACAAGUGCGAGAGUAACUGCUCGCACCUUGACGGUACCUAACCAGAAAGCCACGGCUAACUACGUGCCAGCAGCCGCGGUAAUACGUAGGUGGCAAGCGUUGUCCGGAAUUAUUGGGCGUAAAGCGCGCGCAGGUGGUCCUUUAAGUCUGAUGUGAAAGCCCACGGCUCAACCGUGGAGGGUCAUUGGAAA
rnacentral:rRNA from 1 species